GCUGUUCAUGAUGCUGUGAAGCGACGAUGUGUUUAGCGUGUAGGUCCAAGUUAGCGGACUCGUUCUAUUUUAUUCUUAUACGGGUAUAGGGUCCGUAUCUUGGCUGUAGAAGCAGCUGCCCGUCUGCAGCAGAACGAAAGCGACUUGUCCACGCGCGCCCAAGACACACAACACGUCUGGAGUAUCGUCGUUGCAGUCGCAAACGGUGUCGUGCCCUGUACACAGUAUGCAGGGUGCGCAUAAGACGAACUAUGGACAAGUGGGACUCAGACCUGCGUGGUUUGCUUCUUCAGUAGAAAGUGUUGCAGGACUUGGGAUCUGCCUGCGUCGAGAUUGCAAACGUUUGCACAGAGGCGUCCGGUAGAUGCCCUGUUCAUACCCAGAAAGGGUGCCCCUGUACGAGUAUACAAUGCUUUCGAAAAAAUAUUUUUAUGGACUUGUAUGAUCUGAGUGCCUCAGAUCUAGUUCCGACAGCAGCAUUGGAAAAGCUACCGCAUGUUCCACUGACGCUUGCGUCUUGCAAAGUGGCGUUUGCGGGCGACUCCAGGAGAAACCGCUGGAGCAGCCGCAUUCCAGGAACGCCUAUCCGUAACGCUACCGCGCCAGCUGCUGUACUCUCUGGUGAAGAUGCAGCGCUGACUGCCUCGUGCAAUUUCGAAUGAGGGCGCUGCAUCGAAUACAGUGCCUCAGAAGCGUAGAAGGCUAUGGAGAAGAAGAAGCCCCUGUUGCUUUCGACGUCGCCGUUGACACCAUCCCGCACCGUUUUUCGUAUACCCGAAUUCCAUUGGGCUCGCUCAUUUGUUUUCGCAGUGAUGGUCUCGGGGUACAGAGGACAUCGGCCAGGCGCAGAGAUAUACGCGAUGGCUGCUUGCGCUCCAGCAGCUCCCAUGCUGUCUGGCAUCCGAACAAGAACGCAAGGUAGCAGUCUUUGGCUCGCUCCAGCCGGAUGGUUCCAUCGUCAUGGCGUUGGUGCUCCCGGUCCUCUGGUGCCUGCCGACGCUACCCAGCGUCAGUGUCCAACAACAAUCCCGACUCUCUCGGUCCACAGUGAAUGGUUGAGACGCUUCGGUGAUUGCUGGCAUGUCCAGGCAGCGCUUCAGCGGCGCGAAUACACCGCGCUGUUUUCGAGAGCAUUCUCGCUGCCCUCAGUUCACGAUACUGAAGGCAGCAUCACGCGGCAUGGUACGCGGAAGGACUAUACGCCUUUCACAGAGCAAUCAGCGAUGACGCUUCGGAUAGGUCCAGGGUUCGCUUCUUGUGAACCUGGGCGGAUGACCGCUCGGCGCUCUUCAUUGGGUACUUUGCAACGGUGCGAUGCGUUAGUCGCACCUGAGAAUGCCACUCGGAUCACGAGUGUGGACGCCAAACAGGCCGGGGUGCGGGAGCCCUCCACACCGGACAGCGUAUGAUCGAAUGGGGUGCAGAGAACGCACCAGCAUAUGAUUCCUGUUCGCGCACAUACUGAUCGAACUGAGCUUGCAAUGAUCACGUGCUAUCCCACGGGGUACGGACAACGCCUUUAUGCCCUUUUUGGAGACAGAAGCAAUCGCGUUCGCAUCAUGCUCAGUCUACAGUGAUGUCGUCUUCGGUGCCAGGAAACUCUUCCAAGCCGCUCUGAUUCGAGAUCGCCUGAGCCUGCGGAUGUCCCAGUCCAGGCCUGUCGAGUCGUUCACGGUGAUGGUCGAGGUCAUCAGCAACGUAAGUUGUGUCCCAUGUGCGGGGCUCUGUCGCUGAAUCCUUACGUCCAGCAUCCGCCACAUGUAUUCGCUGGGUACCAGAGACGACAAAACGCGGGCCAUGACCAUAGCAAAUGCUUUUUCGAGGAUUGAAAAGCCCCCGCCCAGACCAUGACACUAUCUAAUCGCGGAGCAUGAUCAUCAUCAGCAGCAGCGCUCUCUUGAUUCAGCUCCCGAAUUCACCGAUGCUUGCCUCACAGUGCAAACACUCGUUUCCCGGUAUUGACGACGCGGCUCCGACGCCAGGAAAACGCGACUCUUGAUCGAUCAAUUGGAUAGCGAACAGAGAGAAGCUUCAGCGUAAAGCGUGGGCCUAGUUCCUGAGUGCGCACACGAACCCGCUCGGCAGCUUCUGGAUCCCGCGACGCCUCAAAGAUGUAACGGUAGAAGCGGAGAAAGAUAUAGUCACGUUGAUUACGAACGAGCACAACCUGGCGACUUUGCGGUGUUCCCUCGUGCGGAAACAGUGCGCUCAAGCUGCGCUCAAUGUGUCGUCCGAGAUUCGUCUGAAAGUUACAUGUCACCACUUCCACAGGUAAAGGUGUCGGCG